ACGAUGCGCCAGCUCAACGGAACGAGUGUUUCGGCUCAUCGCUUCACCAGUCACCACCCCGACAGAGACCGCCACCGUCAAGCAUGUUGGGUGCACCGAGUCCGGCAGCAGGCGAAUUCAGACGCCGUCUUGCACGGCUUCAGGGGUGAAGGGCGGACUAGGCAGAAGAGGCACUAACGGGACGAAGAUCCUGGCAGCCCUCUCCGCGCCGAGGGGCAGCACCAUCCGCGAGAACCCUCAAAGAGCUCUGAAGGCAGGGCUGCCCGUCGAGUGGCUGAUAGAGGGACAAGACAAUGAGGUGCCCACAGGGGUGAAAGCUUGCCACGCGGGAAGACGACACGCCACGGAGCUGCCCUUUCCUCUGCCAGAGUGCACGCCAAUGCAGCUGUGUUGCACGUGCAGUUGACUGGCCACGCUCACGGACGACCUGACCGGAGGAGGGCUGUACCGCCAAGUCAGCACUGCGGAGAGAAGUGACUGCUGCAUACCCCUGCACAUAUGAUAUCGCUGGCUAGGGGGUAUCCUAACAUGCGAUGGAACUCCCAGCAAGCUACGACUGCGUAUUUUCGGCUUCGCCCUCGUCCGUUUCUGUCAUUUCGGAGCUUACGUCAAGUCUCCUCCCCGCCACACACUCUCUCUGCCCACUGUCGUUGUGAGAGCUCACAUCCUUCUUCUUCACGGCCUUCGUCUGACGUAUCACCAUGCUUCGCCUGUCCUACUCUACAUACGUGACUGGAAUAGCUAAUGAUGCCCAUGCCGUUCCUUUUCUUUGCUGUUUCUCUCGGCCUCGCGCGCUUGCCACAUUGUUUGUGGUGUGUGUGUGUGCGUGCGGAAUGUCCCCCCCCCCUAACGUGUUGUACAGCCACCCCUUCUGUGUUGUGUGUACAUGGGCAACACACUCAAAAACGAAGAAUAACAAGCGAUAUAUAAAAGAGGGAUCCAGAGAGCGCCACCGCACACUCAGUAACAUCGUGCUUUUCAGACCACAGGCGGGGGAGGGGCCGCAACGCACAGGGGGGUGGCAUGCGGCGCCGCCCUGCUCAGUGAAGGUGCCACGCGGAGAGGGGGCGAAGGUGGGGCGACUUGGAGUAACUCAGAUGUGGUGCUAUCACUGCUCGCGCCCCCUUUCACGUUUACGUCACUACACAUGCACACAGAACACGAUGCCAGACACGUGCACUGCAGCGUGCCCGCCAGUAUGCUUUCCGCGCUCUCUGUGGCCAGUGCCUGAGCGCACGGCAUGCUUGCCGCUGUCCGCGCCGAGUUGAGUCAACCUCUUGUGUGUCUCCGCCUCCGUUCCCCAUGCGGUCUUUUUUUUUGCAGUUUUUGUUCGACCCCUCUCUCUCCCUCUCUUGAAG
rnacentral:misc_RNA from 1 species